rnacentral:rRNA from 1 species
UGCAGUCGAGCGCGGGAGCGAGUGGUAUCCCUUCGGGGUGAAGCUCGUGGAACGAGCGGCGGACGGGUGAGUAACACGUGGGCAACCUGCCUGUAAGAUCGGAAUAACCCCGGGAAACCGGGGCUAAUGCCGGGUAAUACUUUCUUUCGCAUGAAGGAAAGUUGAAAGAUGGCUUCUUGCUAUCACUUACAGAUGGGCCCGCGGCGCAUUAGCUAGUUGGUGAGGUAACGGCUCACCAAGGCGACGAUGCGUAGCCGACCUGAGAGGGUGAUCGGCCACACUGGGACUGAGACACGGCCCAGACUCCUACGGGAGGCAGCAGUAGGGAAUCUUCCGCAAUGGACGAAAGUCUGACGGAGCAACGCCGCGUGAACGAUGAAGGUCUUCGGAUCGUAAAGUUCUGUUGUUAGGGAAGAACAAGUACCGUGCGAAUAGAGCGGUACCUUGACGGUACCUAACGAGGAAGCCCCGGCUAACUACGUGCCAGCAGCCGCGGUAAUACGUAGGGGGCAAGCGUUGUCCGGAAUUAUUGGGCGUAAAGCGCGCGCAGGCGGUUCCUUAAGUCUGAUGUGAAAGCCCACGGCUCAACCGUGGAGGGUCAUUGGAAACUGGGGAACUUGAGGACAGAAGAGGAGAGUGGAAUUCCACGUGUAGCGGUGAAAUGCGUAGAUAUGUGGAGGAACACCAGUGGCGAAAGGCG